rnacentral:lncRNA from 1 species
CCAUUUGCUCUCAUUUUCAGGUGGAAUUUGAUGGCUGCUCCUCUUGUGAAUCUUCAAUUUCUGAGGAUUUUGCUUUGGAUUACCAAUUUCUUGCCCUUUAAAAACUUCCCCAUCUUGCUUUCCAACUCUCAAAAGUACGUACCUCCAUUUUAGCUGUCUUGGACAUUCACUCUUCAACUCUUUUUCCUUAUUACUUGGUUGAUUUAAGUACCUUUGUUGAGCCAUCAGCUGAGUUCUCUGGUUGAUGGGAUUUAUCUUGCUUUUUGGUACUGAUUCGAAGCGUCUAGACCCCUGGUCCAACUUGUCCGUCCAAGUGAGUAGUGUAUGCAAGUGCUUACUCUUUUUAUCUUUCUUUUUCUAUGUUGACCAUGUACCUGCCUUGUAAGUGUAUAAGAGAGGGAAAUAAAUGGAUGCUCGAGCCCACAAACACUUAUAUCUACAGCUGUUACCCAGGUGUACUCAUAACAUAGAUAUCCCCUGACCCUUCCCUCCGUCUAAGAGUCUAUUUUGUCAGCUAAAGUUGUAUAAAUUAGGUAGUAAUUUCUUGUUUUUGUGCCUUUAUGGUAUAUAAAUAUUGGCUUUGAUGCUUGCUUAUUGAUGGUAUCACCUUCUGCCCCAUUCUCCCCUAGCUUCCUAUCUUCGGUGUAAUUCAAAUAUAAGGACAGUGUAACUUAUCACUAUUUAGAAUUCUCCUUGCUUUGCUGUCUAGCUUUUGAAAUGAAGUACAUUUAAAAUUUUCUCCAUUAAUUUCUAGAUUUGCACAAUAGUCUGCUAACUGAUUCCCUU